AGGAGGUAUACUUUAGUUUGUUCCAAAAUGUUGGAUACUGGAUUUUUGUUUUAAAUGUUUUAUUCAUGCAUAUUAGUUUAAUACUGUUACCUAUAUAUAUAUAAGUUUUGUCAUGAUACUAUCUUCUAUAAGAUUGUUUUGUUUAUGUUUAGUUUAUAAUAUUAAUAUUUUAAUAAGUUAAGGUUAGGGAUAAUAGUUUAUCUACAACUAAAGUUGUGCCAGCAGUUGCGGUUAUACAACUGUAGAUUUAAAUUUUUUCAGGCAAUAUUAAAUUAUUGGUUUUAAAUAAUUAAAUUGUAUAAUUUUUAGUGAAAUAAAUAUUAUACUUAUGUUAUUAUAUAUUAUAAUAUAUUAAAACUUAUUAAUAGACUAGGAUUAGAUACCCUAUUAUUUAAGUUGUAAAUUUGUUGCUUAGUUACUAUUAGAUAUGGUCUUUAAAUUUAAAGAAUUUGGCGGUAAUUUAGCUUUCCAGAGGAACCUGUUUUUUAAUUGAUAAUCCACAAGAAAUUCUACUUUAUUCAAAGGCUUAUAUACCUCUAUCAUUGAGUGUCUUUUAAGGGGUAUUCUCUAAGUGACUUUUUAGUCAGAAUGUUAGGUCAAGGUUUAGUAAUAAUAAAGUUUUAAUGGGUUACAUUAUAGUUACAUAUAGGAGGAUAAUAUGGAAAUAUAUUUGAAUUUGGAUUUGGGUGUAAAAAGUUUUAGAUUAAGUUUUAGAUAUUAGCUCUAAAUUAUGUACACAUCGCCCGUCGCUCUCAUUCAUAUGAGAUAAGUCGUAACAAAGUAGGUUUAUUGGAAAAUGGAUCUAGAAUGAU
rnacentral:ncRNA from 1 species